rnacentral:rRNA from 1 species
GUACGGGAGGCAGCAGUAGGGAAUAUUGCACAAUGGGCGAAAGCCUGAUGCAGCAACGCCGCGUGUGCGAUGAAGGCCUUCGGGUCGUAAAGCACUUUUCUGAGAGAUGAGAAAGGACAGUAUCUCAGGAAUAAGUCUCGGCUAACUACGUGCCAGCAGCCGCGGUAACACGUAGGAGGCGAGCGUUAUCCGGAUUCACUGGGCGUAAAGCGCGUGCAGGUGGUUUGGUAAGUUGGGCGUGAAAUCUCCUGGCUUAACUAGGAGAGGUCGUUCAAUACUACCAGACUUGAGAGCAGUAGAGGAAAGUGGAAUUCCCGGUGUAGUGGUGAAAUGCGUAGAUAUCGGGAGGAACACCAGUGGCGAAGGCGACUUUCUGGACUGUUUCUGACACUCAGACGCGAAAGCUAGGGUAGUAAACGGGAUUAGAUACCCCGGU